UACGUAGGGUGCGAGCGUUGUCCGGAAUUAUUGGGCGUAAAGAGCUCGUAGGCGGUGUGUCACGUCGGCCGUGAAAACCUGCAGCUUAACUGUGGGCGUGCGGUCGAUACGGGCAUCACUGGAGUUCGGCAGGGGAGACUGGAAUUCCUGGUGUAGCGGUGAAAUGCGCAGAUAUCAGGAGGAACACCGGUGGCGAAGGCGGUUCUCUGGGCAUUACCUGACGCUGAGGGGCGAAAGUGUGGGGAGCGAACAGG
rnacentral:rRNA from 1 species